GUCUGGCUGGCUCAGUUGGUAGAGCAUGAGACUCUUGAUCUUGGGGUUAUGAGUCCAAACCACAUGUUGAAUG
rnacentral:tRNA from 1 species